rnacentral:lncRNA from 1 species
UUAAAGGGAAACGACUUUGGACUCACGUAGGCAUAGGAGAACGAAACUUCUGUACAUUUUAAUCUGAAUAAUUCUUCAGGAUUUAAAAUUAAUUGGCUCUGGCUUGGUUGGACCGUACUCGGAUCUCGCCACCUCUGCGUUUCCCGAGUCACUGGCGAAGAGGUCCCAGUUCCUCUGGGAAUCGUCCUGUAUGCAACAUCUUCACAAGAGUGGCAGGCAGUUGAAUCUCUGGCCUUCGUGGGACCACUGGACAUCUGGCAGAGAACCAGGAAACCACGGUUCCCUUCUGUGAGUCCCUCAGCCGGAAAACUACAAGCUCCUCAUGCAGCUGCUGUCUACAGACCCCCUGGACUGCCUGGGGAAGUGAGUCGGAGCUCCUGCAGCAGAGGGGUGGAACAGCUACACGAAGAUCCGAAGGUGGCCAAAAAUAACAGCGCUUUCCAGAUGAGGGAGCCAGUUGUCCAGCACAGUGUCAUGGGACAGUGGGCCCUGGUGCCACAAUGCCCGGCAUCUCCACCAGAUACAGCUUUGAGAUCUUCAUGAUGAAGCUUGCUCCAAUCCAAGGGCUGUCAGGUGGGGUUUGCGGUUCAGCUGCUAACCUUUCUUUGAUCCAAAUCCUGUCUUCACUGGCUUCAAGAAUCCUGUCUUCACUGGCUUCAAAACUGGGAUGAAGGAGGCUCCUUAGUGGAGAGCAAAGCAAAGAGAAACUCAAAUUGGAUCCAUAUUAAAGAAGAGAAGGAUGGAUUUGUUUAGACAACACAAACCUAGGAAGGGUUUGAGAGGUGAAACAAACUGGGUUAUGGAUGAACGGGGGCAAUUGGAAUGUAGAAUUGAAGCAGUAAUUAACAUCUUGGUUUCAUCUGGGUGUUUGGCAUCAUGUUCAGAAAUGUGAAAAAUAAAAUUCAGCACCGUUAUUACUGAAUUAGAUAAAAUGAUUGUAUUUAAUUAAUCCGUAAAUAUUAACUAAUUAUUCUGUUUACCAUAACAUGUAAUGAAUAUAAUUCUCCACCAGGCAAAUAAAGAAAGAAAGAUGUAAUUAGGUGAUUUAAGCAUAAAACUUGGCUGAAAGCAUAUUUAAAUCUUGGUCAUAGUUUACUGGCAUUAAUUUCCUUGGGCAAAAAUCUUUGUAGGUCCUCAGACAACCAUUUUCUCUUCUGAGGAAUAGAUUUCCCUCGUUCUUCUGAGGGUCUGUUCAUUUACAAUGUGUUUUGACAGUAGUAAAAUUUAGUAAACAUUCAGUAACAUAUGAGAUACAUCUAGUAAUAGAUGUUUUCUUUGCCAAGUGAAUUAUCUGGGGCUGAUAAAAAUCAGUGUAAAACCCACUCUCAGAGCAGCCUUCUGACAUGCCUGAGGCUGAACCCCGAAGAGGAAUCUACUGAAACUGGACUUGAAAGCCUUUGUCACAAUGAAAAGCACCUUCUGUGACUGACAUUCUUUUGUGAUCUCCUCCAAAAAAGUUAUCAUAAUUAUUGAACAUUUCCUCUGUAGCUUAUUCUCAAUCCAAUCAGUUAUAAUGAAAAUAGUCUGCUUGCUUUUUAUAUUCUUAAGUUUUCAAAAUGAUUAGUGCUUCCUUGAGAUAUCCCAUUAAUUGGACACACAACCCAGAUGAAAAGGCUGAAACCCAAGAGUAUAUAAAAAAACAUAAGGUUGUUGCAAUUUAAGUGCCUUCAAAAGAUCUAAUUUGAUUUCUAAAAGCAAUUUUGCAGAUGUGAAAAUUAAAGGCACGCAGAAACAAGAUAUGAUUUAAUGAACGUGUAGGUUAAGAAACAUUUAGAGGUUUCAGUAGCUUUACUCUGACGUUUUUGUUUGUUUGUUUAGCUGUUAUGUUGGAAAGAUUGAGUCCACAACACAAUAAAAAUUACUGAAUUUUAUGGGUCGCUAUUUCCUUGAUCAAAUUGUCCCAUUCUUCCCAACAUGUUUCUGAAGCAACUUUGUAUUUCUGUCUGCAGAUUUUCAGGUCCAGGACCCGUCAAUCAAAUUUCAGAUUCUAAUAAAGUCCAAGGGUCUCUCCACUUAGGUUUGUCUUAGCUGUUUCAUCAAUGAGCCCCUCCCCCUUUCCCAGCAAAUUGCACACUUAUUCCCACUUAAAAAAAAAAAAGAGAGAGAGAGAGAGACAGAAAAAUAACCCUUCCCACUGGUUCUAAUGACAUCUUCAGUCAUUAAUGAGUUAAUAAAAAUCUCGAAGUCAUCUGGGCUAGAUAAGAAAGAAGAAAGAAAUGUAUUGUACUGUAAUGACAGGCUCUCGAGCUGCCCUCUGAGAUGUCAUGGGUCAGUCAUGUUAAGAAUGUGUGCGUCCAAUCAUCUGCUGAUUUUUAUCAGCAAGCUCUCCAGCAGGAGCUGACAAGGGCCAGUUUGGGAGUCACAAUGAAUAAACAAUGACUUUUUGGAUUGUUGGGGGCUGUGUAAUAGAGUGAGGGGUUUAUAUAUACUAAAACAUGAUGACAUUAG